rnacentral:rRNA from 1 species
UAGUACGAGAGGAACCGUUGGUUCGGAUAUUUGGUAACGCGGUUGGCUGAGCAGCCAAUGCCGCCAAGCUAUCAUCCGUAGGAUUAUGUCUGAACGCCUCUAAGACAGAAUCCAUGCUGGAAGCGACGAUACGCCCUCGACCGGUGUUGGAGUACGAAUAGCCUUCGGGUCAACACGAUAUUUCACCGCAAUUCAGAAUGUUGGUCGAGUUAAAUCCUCUGUAGACGACUUAACUAGAACGGGGUACUGUACGCAU